rnacentral:rRNA from 1 species
GACGUAGGGCGCGAGCGUUGUCCGGAUUUAUUGGGCGUAAAGAGCUCGUAGGCGGUUUGUCGCGUCUGCUGUGAAAUCCCGAGGCUCAACCUCGGGUCUGCAGUGGGUACGGGCAGACUAGAGUGCGGUAGGGGAGAUUGGAAUUCCUGGUGUAGCGGUGGAAUGCGCAGAUAUCAGGAGGAACACCAAUGGCGAAGGCAGAUCUCUGGGCCGUAACUGACGCUGAGGAGCGAAAGCAUGGGGAGCGAACAGG